rnacentral:rRNA from 1 species
GCCUUUAGUUGCCAGCAUUCAGUUGGGCACUCUAGAGGGACUGCCGGUGUCAAACCGGAGGAAGGUGGGGAUGACGUCAAGUCCUCAUGGCCUUUAUGUCUAGGGCUACACACGUACUACAAUGGUCGGUACAGAGGGUUGCCAAGCCGCGAGGUGGAGCCAAUCCCUUAAAGCCGAUCGUAGUCCGGAUCGUAGUCUGCAACUCGACUACGUGAAGUCGGAAUCGCUAGUAAUCGCAGAUCAGCAUGCUGCGGUGAAUACGUUCCCGGGUCUU